GUCAUCCUACGGGGCGCAGCAGUGGGGAAUAUUGCACAAUGGGGGAAACCCUGAUGCAGCAACGCCGCGUGGGUGAAGAAGUAUUUCGGUAUGUAAAGCUCUAUCAGCAGGGAAGAAGAUGACGGUACCUGAUUAAGAAGCCCCGGCUAACUACGUGCCAGCAGCCGCGGUAAUACGUAGGGGGCAAGCGUUAUCCGGAUUUACUGGGUGUAAAGGGAGCGCAGACGGCAGCGCAAGUCUGGAGUGAAAGCCCGGGGCCCAGCCCCGGAACUGCUCUGGAAACUGUGCGGCUA
rnacentral:rRNA from 1 species